UACGUAGGUGGCAAGCGUUGUCCGGAUUUAUUGGGUUUAAAGGGUGCGUAGGUGGCUUUUUAAGUCAGGGGUGAAAGACGGUAGCUUAACUAUCGCAGUGCCUUUGAUACUGAAGAGCUUGAAUGAACUAGAGGUAGGCGGAAUGUGACAAGUAGCGGUGAAAUGCAUAGAUAUGUCACAGAACACCAAUUGCGAAGGCAGCUUACUAUGGUUUUAUUGACACUGAGGCACGAAAGCGUGGGGAUCAAACAGG
rnacentral:rRNA from 1 species